UACGUGAAACCGUUCAGGGGUAAACCUGAGAAACCUGAAAGAUCGAAUGGGGAGAUUCAGCGCGUCUCCGAGCUGGCGAGCGGCGGGGUUAGCGACGGACGUCCUUCGGGACGGCUGCGCGCCCCGUCACCGCGUCCGGUUUGGAACGCGUGCACUUCUCCCCUAGUAGGACGUCGCGACCCGUUGGGUGUCGGCCUUAGGCUAGCGGUGGAGCCCGCGAGGACGGUCCCGGCCGUCCCUUGCGGACCCGCGAUGCCCGGCCGGCUCGCCCGACGGUUCCGAAAUGGCUUGGAGCCGCGAUUCGUUCGCGUCCGGCCCGUCGCAAGCUCGGACGGUUGCCCGGCUGUCGGACCUAGCGCCGACACUGGAGCCGUUCGGCUGCUGGCGGCGGAGACCUCGGACGGACUCCUAUCACGCCAGUCGGCGACGCUUUAGCUUUGGGUACUUUCAGGACCCGUCUUGAAACACGGACCAAGGAGUCUAGCAUGUGCGCGAGUCAUUGGGACUUGCUAAACCUAAAGGCGAAAUGAAAGUGAAGGCACGCUUCGCGCAUGCCUAGGGAGGAUGGGCCGCGUCACCGUGCGCGGCCCCGCACUCCAGGGGCGUCUCGUUCUCCUUCGCGAGUUGAGGCGCACCCAGAGCGUACACGCUGGGACCCGAAAGAUGGUGAACUAUGCCUGGUCAGGACGAAGUCAGGGGAAACCCUGAUGGAGGUCCGUAGCGAUUCUGACGUGCAAAUCGAUCGUCGGAACUGGGUAUAGGGGCGAAAGACUAAUCGAACCAUC
rnacentral:rRNA from 1 species